rnacentral:rRNA from 1 species
AGUGAACGCUGGCGGUAGGCCUAACACAUGCAAGUCGAACGGCAGCACAGUAAGAGCUUGCUCUUACGGGUGGCGAGUGGCGGACGGGUGAGGAAUACAUCGGAAUCUACUUUUUCGUGGGGGAUAACGUAGGGAAACUUACGCUAAUACCGCAUACGACCUACGGGUGAAAGCAGGGGAUCUUCGGACCUUGCGCGAUUGUAUGAGCCGAUGUCGGAUUAGCUAGUUGGCGGGGUAAAGGCCCACCAAGGCGACGAUCCGUAGCUGGUCUGAGAGGAUGAUCAGCCACACUGGAACUGAGACACGGUCCAGACUCCUACGGGAGGCAGCAGUGGGGAAUAUUGGACAAUGGGCGCAAGCCUGAUCCAGCCAUACCGCGUGGGUGAAGAAGGCCUUCGGGUUGUAAAGCCCUUUUGUUGGGAAAGAAAAGCAGCAGGUUAAUACCCCGCUGUUCUGACGGUACCCAAAGAAUAAGCACCGACUAACUUCGUG